GCAUGCCUGUGCACCGUGGUCUCUGCCCGAACCGACCCUGGCGUACUUCCCCAACGCCAGGUUCGUGUCUUCGGUCAGAGACCAGGGUGCACGGGCGCCGCAGC
rfam:Mycobacterium sp. 1423905.2 contig_361, whole genome shotgun sequence.